rnacentral:lncRNA from 1 species
GUGUUUUACCCAGGUUCAGAAGGAAGGUGCUGGUCUGGAGGAAGGAAAGAGGACUGCUGCUGAAAGGAAAUUUACUCAAGGUGUGAAGUUGCAAUUUAAGCUACACUGCUUAUGAGGAAUCUGGCAUGUGUCCUGAGUGAGCACACGCAUAGGAAAGGAAUCUCAACUUUGUAAGAUAUCUGCUUAUUUGUUUUAUUUUGGCACUAAGACUUUUUUUGAAUGAAAUAUUACAAAGACAUCUGACCUUUGAAAGAAUCAAACUGAGCUGUUGUGGUCAAGGUAGGAAUGUGGAAAGAGAGUCCAGUCCUUGGACUUGCCCUUCUCAACUUCUACAAUUGGCCCACUAGGAAUCCUUCUGAUAUACGUGGCAGAUUCAGGAGCAACUCGAUUCAGAAUUCAUGCUAUAUCGCAGAAUCCAUCCAUCAUUGCUACCGCUUCUGGGUAAGUUCCGUUUUCCUGUCUGACUUUG